rnacentral:rRNA from 1 species
AGUAAAUUGGUUAAGUUAGAAAGGGCGCACGGUGGAUGCCUUGGCACUAGGAGCCGAAGAAGGACGGGACUAACACCGAUAUGCUUUGGGGAGCUGUACGUAAGCGUUGAUCCAGAGAUUUCCGAAUGGGGGAACCCACUAUCUUUAGUCGGAUAGUAUCCUUACGUGAAUACAUAGCGUGAGGAAGGCAGACCCAGGGAACUGAAACAUCUAAGUACCUGGAGGAAGAGAAAGAAAAAUCGAUUUCCUGAGUAGCGGCGAGCGAAACGGAAAGAGCCCAAACCAAGAAGCUUGCUUCUUGGGGUUGUAGGACACUCUAUACGGAGUUACAAAAGAAAGUUAUAAAUGAAGCGGUCUGGAAAGGCCCGCCAAAGACGGUAACAGCCCGGUAGUUGAAAUGGCUUUCCCUCCAGAGUGGAUCCUGAGUACG